AACCGAUCAGCCUUCCUAGGCGUAGGAACCUAGUCUCUAUGACUUAGGUCAUGCCUAACAACAAUAAUGCCGCGAAGCAUGACACCAAAAAAUACCACGAAGGAGAGAGAGAAGGAAACAGGGGAAGAGAACUUUAUUGAAUAACCACUCGACUGAUUAAAAUAGGCUCUCCUGGUCUCUCGAGCUCUACCCGAUACCAAUCCCUCUCU
rnacentral:lncRNA from 1 species